CACUCUGCCUCUGAGGGUAUAUUAUUACUUCCUGGUUUCCAUAGUAAACUAACGUCAAGGAGAGCAUUUUGAUGACAUUCUGGUUUCUAUGACAACCGGGGCAAGCCAUUCCUUCCUGGCGGCAGACACACUUCACAAGGAUAUUUACAGACUGGAGAGAUGGGAUAACUGUAGAAACCUCAACACUAAUUAGCAUCACAGGGCAACAGGUCGUGGCCAUCUGCAUUUGGGUGCCCUGGAGUCCCUGGAGGAAGAGUGCAGUUUGGAGGCACGGGGCAGAGUGAAGGUUCUGCAGGUGAGGAGUUGCAGCAGCAGAUGUGGGACUGGACCUUCGUGACCCUGGGUUGCUCCUGUAUCACCCACAAAAACAAGCAGUCAGCCCAGCACCUCAGGGAGACUCGGGCGGGAAGAGAGCCACUCAAGCUGCCAGCCCUUUGCAGUCCCUGAGGACUGCACGCAGCCUUAGGGCAGAACUGCAUUAGCGGUGGUUUUGACAGCCAGGCGUCCUGCCCUCCUCCAAUCACCUCCUGACCCCCAACUCCAACUGCAAUGGACACCCAGUAUGUCCUGUGCAGUUGGAAAGGCCGCUUGUGGCCAGCCAAGGUUCUGUCCAGAUCUUGGACUUUGCCGAAAUAUAAGAGGAGAAGGGUGCUUUCUCUCCAAGUCCAGAUCCUCUCUGAAGACCAAAAAUUGAGAGUGAAGGGCAAAGACGCAAGGGUGCUGAACAAGUUGGAAAUCGAAGCCCUGGCCACCUCAGCCCGGGCAUGGUCCAGGGCCACUGUGCCAUCGGGGGAGAAGAGAAG